CUCUACUAAAAAUACAAAAAAAAUAGCUGGGUGUGGAGGUACACGCCUGUAAUCCCAGCUACUCAGGAGGCUGAGGCAGGAAAAUCGCUUGAACCCGGGAGGCGGAGGGUGCAGUGAGCCGAGAUCGCGCCACUGCUCUCCAGCCUGGGCAACAAGAGCAAAACCUCCGUCUUGGAAAAAAAAGUGUGGUUCCGGGGCCUCCCAGGGGACAGCAUGUCAUAGGUUGCCCAGGCCUCCAAGCGUGGUCGGUGCGCCUCCAACUGCAGCCUUGGUGCCCACUCCACCAACCGGCAGAAGAGCCGGCCCUGAGUGCUGAUGGGGGGAUGUGUGUCUGAUGGAGGGGUCUCCUGAGAGGUCAGUGAUUGCUUACGAUGGGGCUUCCCUCCCAAGUCAUCAAGUUCAAGGGAGGCUGCAUCCCAUGGGUCUCUUUCAACACCAGUCCUGACUGAAGAGCCGCUCUCUUCAGCAGUUUAUUGUUGGAGCGAGUGCUGGAAUUGAGUCAUUGUCACUGGAACAGCUGGUCACCGCCCAAAGACGGGGAGCCUGGGUCCCAGAGACCAGUCCCCAACAUGGGUGCUGGGUCUGGGGAGAUGGCCCGUGACCAGGCUGGGGUGGCAUUUCCCUGACACUGGGCCUUUGUAGUGACAAUCCCCUCUGUGCUGGCCCUGCUUCUCAACAGUGGGACGGCUGAGGCCUCUGACUCCUGGGUGUGAGGCCAGCUGUGACGCUGACCAUCUGCUUGGCCUGUCAGUGGCCAGGGCGCUCUUGAGGUGGCCUCCACUCUUCCCCUAGCCCUGGGUGCAGGUGGGCACCUCUGCAGGAGCCAGUCGUCUGGGGGUUCUUUGAAGGCAGGAACCCCCACAGGCCCCAGGGCACAGCAGCGCCUCAAUUAGCCGAGAACGAGGCCUCUUGUGGUGAUGUGGCUCUUGUUGUCUGUCCCGGGCCCUGGGGCACCCGGCUGAGUGUCUUGGUCCCUCUCCCACCCCCACUGUGAGCUUGGGGUCUCCCCUCAGAGGCCUGAGGAGAUGGUGUUCCCUGGGUGCUCCUGAGCACCAGCCCUCACUGCCAGGCUACUCUUGGAGCAGCACAAGGUUAGGAAGGUGUCCUGGCCACCGCCUUGGGGAUGGUGGCCACCUGGGCACUCAGGGUCUCCUUUGGGCCGUCUUACCUCAUCUCCCUCCUCCAGGAGGCAACGCACGGGCCACAGGCAUGUUCCUGCAGUAUACAGUGCCGGGGACGGAGGGUGUGACCCAGCUGAAGCUGACAGCGGUGGAGGACGCGAAUGUGGGCAGGAGGCAGGCGGUGGCAUGGCUAGUGGCCAUGCACAAGGCUGCCAAGCUCCUCUACGAAUCUCGGGACCAGUAACUCUGCGUGGGGCUGAGCUUGGAGUACGUGUGGUCGCCACGACUGAGUCGCUUGGAACAGCAGAGCCUGCUCUUUGCGUACCACAGGCAUUAAUCCUGCUUGUGCUGGGAAAUGCAACUCAUGUAUUUGGAGAAACAGAAGUGUUCACUUAUUUAGUGCAAUAUGUUCACAGUUUAUUAAUGCUUUAAACAGCUUCAUGUUUUAGAAUUUGUGUAUUGUCAAUACUUAAUUGGGGGUGGGAGAGACUGAGCUACACUACUGCUGAACUAUUUUUAGCAUAAUAUAUACCAUUUUUAUGAGUUCCCAUGUUUACUAGAAGGUUCUGGCCCAUCAAUAUUCAUUUCAUUUAAUUCUUCCACAGAACCAGUUUGGGGAGUAGGAACUCAGGCUUCUGGUCUGCAGUGGAGCCUGCUCACCUCUAAUAGCCAGUUUACAGCACUUGCCUUAGCCUGUUUUACAGACUGUCCACUUACCUUGUCACUAAUUUGGGGCUUCUGGGCUGUGAGUGAUCCUUUGAUACUUCACCAAGGGGAACGUGGGGGCUUUGUGUUUUGUACUUUACUUUUCACUCACUAUUUCACUUUAUUAAGAUGACUGUACAGCAAUUUGUAUAUAAAGCUUAUGAUUAAAACCUAUUUUGAACAU
rnacentral:sRNA from 1 species